rnacentral:snRNA from 1 species
UGCAGUAUCUGCCACCCCAUUGAUUGCCAGGGUUGAAGAGGAUGACCUUCCUCAAAUAGAGCUGGACUUGUAUUGGGUUGUGGGAAUACUGGUAGCUGUGCUCUUCUUUUAGAACCUCCAAGCAAACUCUCAAGUUCCAUAAUUGCUUGAAGAGCAUGUAGAACAAUGUGUUACCCAGAAUUCUUUAAGUAAUGUUCGUUGUUGUAGCUUUCAUCUGACUUGAC